rnacentral:rRNA from 1 species
GACGUAGGAUGCAAGCGUUGUCCGGAUUUAUUGGGCGUAAAGAGCGUGUAGGCGGUCCGGUAAGUCCGCUGUGAAAGUCGGGGGCUCAACCCUCGAAUGCCGGUGGAUACUGUCGGGCUAGAGUGCGGAAGAGGCGAGUGGAAUUCCUGGUGUAGCGGUGAAAUGCGCAGAUAUCAGGAGGAACACCUAUUGCGAAGGCAGCUCGCUGGGACGUAACUGACGCUGAGACGCGAAAGCGUGGGAGCAAACAGG